UCUGGUUCCAUGCGCUGCAAACAGCAGUGAGGACAUUUCUGCCUGUCUGGUCUCACAUCGUAUGGCACCGUCAUCAUGUCUACAUGCAAAAGGAUGUCAAAAGACAGCACUUCAUGGAAAGGAAGAUGUACUUCAGCGACCUCGCACCACCCAGCCAACUUCCAACACAGGAUGCAUGCUGAAGAUUGCAUUGGAGCAAAAAAAAAAA